CACGGUAAACGAUGGAUGCCCGCUGUUUGCGAUAUACUGUGAGCGGCCAAGAGAAAUCGUUAAGCAUCCCACCUGGGGAGUACGCCGGCAACGGUGAAACUCAAAGGAAUUGACGGGGGCCCGCACAAGCGGAGGAACAUGUGGUUUAAUUCGAUGAUACGCGAGGAACCUUACCCGGGCUUGAACUGCAGGAGAACGAUACAGAGAUGUUGAGGUCCUUCGGGACUCCUGUGGAGGUGCUGCAUGGUUGUCGUCAGCUCGUGCCGUGAGGUGUCGGCUUAAGUGCCAUAACGAGCGCAACCCUUUUCGUCAGUUGCCAUCAGGUGAUGCUGGGCACUCUGGCGAUACUGCCACCGUAAGGUGUGAGGAAGGUGGGGAUGACGUCAAAUCAGCACGGCCCUUACGUCCGGGGCUACACACGUGUUACAAUGGGUGGUACAGAGAGUCAACCGCCGGCAACGUCGGUUUAAUCAAAAAAGCCAUCCUCAGUUCGGAUUGGGGUCUGCAACCCGACC
rnacentral:rRNA from 1 species